CAAACUUCAAGAAGAUUUUAAACAUUUGAAACCAACCAACAAAAAGGGACAAGUUCAAGUAUGUCUAGUUGUGGGAUUUCCCCCAAGAUUCCGAUUCUAAAGAGUGGUGUUUUAGUUCAUCUUUACCUUUCACAUCCUCCAUUCUGUUAGGUAAUUUUGAAUUUAGAGUGCAUCCUAACCAUAGAAGUGGGAAUCUGGAGAUCUGUUCCUUUGCAGAAGCAUGGCUGAUCAUAGUUUUUUCCUGGGUUCUUGCAACUUACUGACCUGAGAUCUGGGACCAGUCAGCUUCUCUGGGUGUAGACCGCAGCCACACACAUCCCUGGGGACUGUUGGGGAAGCAGCCUGAAUCCUGUGUGCACAAGGAGCCUUCUGGAUUGUCAAGUAGCAGUAACAGAGUUCACGACCCCAAGCAGUACAAACUCCCAAAUUCACGAAAAUAUUUCUCUUCUUGUUUAUUAUUUUGAUUCACAUUCUCCACAACCCUAACUGCAAAUAUUAAUAACUUUGGCUGCAAAAAAGCAUACGGUACACUUUAGAUUAGACUUACAGUGAAUAAAAGUGAAAAUUCAGAAGUAGGCAGAACGACAGGGCCUCUGGAGCUUAAUGGAAGACGAGGGAAUUACAUCCAUGUGCAGCGUCGGUGUCCACUGUCUUGGGACUAAGUCUCUUUCAUAUUUAAACAAAACUCUUUCGAGAGGGCUCGCUGGUUUGGAGAACCCUCACAAACGCUGCCACCGAGGGCCAGGGGCCCAGGACAGUGGCUGAAUGUGGCAGAGCCUUGGGCUCCGUAGUGAGUGCCCCACGCACUGGCAAUUGGUCGACUUGGGGCUGUGCGCUAGCGUUAGCCGCCUGUGGUUCAGUUCCCCGCACACGGCGUGGCCCGUGCCUCGAGCCUGUGUGGCUAGUGGUUGGCCGGUCCACCUGGACUGGGGGGUCGCCGCAGGAAGCUGGCGGUAGGAGGAACCUCCCUGGCCUUAACAGUGGCCCCCACCUGUGGCUCGGGCUCCCCGCAACCUCCUGGUUUCUUUGGCCGGC
rnacentral:lncRNA from 1 species